rnacentral:rRNA from 1 species
CACGUAGGGGGCGAGCGUUGUCCGGAAUUAUUGGGCGUAAAGAGCUCGUAGGUGGCUUGUCGCGUCUGCCGUGAAAGCCCAUGGCUUAACUGUGGGUCUGCGGUGGAUACGGGCAGGCUGGAGGCUGGUAGGGGCAAGCGGAAUUCCUGGUGUAGCGGUGAAAUGCGCAGAUAUCAGGAGGAACACCGGUGGCGAAGGCGGCUUGCUGGGCCAGUUCUGACGCUGAGGAGCGAAAGCGUGGGGAGCGAACAGG